rnacentral:misc_RNA from 1 species
AAGUCGUAACAAGGUUUCCGUAGGUGAACCUGCGGAAGGAUCAUUACAAUACGUUUCCACACGUAAACCAAACGUUGAACUGUACAAGCGUCCGAUAGGAAAUGGGGUUCAUGGGCCGGCGGCUUUGAGGUGGAUACACCAAACACAAAUCAAACUUCGGUUUGAAAGGUGAUCGAAAGUGCCUCGGUCGGUUCUUUUUCCGGUGUUGCUCGAGUUUCGCACUCGCAAAACGGAAAAGCCCUUUUCCUAGUUCGGGUAUUUAUCCAUUCAAACACUUUUGCAUCGCCUUUUUUUCCUUUUAACCCCUUUCACCUUUUUUACUUCAACAUUAUUGAACUGAUUUCGAGCUGCUUAACCGCGCUCGAUCAUUUUUACGAAACGUAAGAACAACUCUUAACAACGGAUAUCUUGGCUCUC